UACGUAGGGCGCAAGCGUUGUCCGGAAUUAUUGGGCGUAAAGAGCUCGUAGGCGGCCUGUUGCGUCCGCUGUGAAAUCCCGGGGCUCAACCCCGGGCCUGCAGUGGAUACGGGCUGGCUGGAGGCAGGCAGGGGAGAACGGAAUUCCUGGUGUAGCGGUGAAAUGCGCAGAUAUCAGGAGGAACACCGGUGGCGAAGGCGGUUCUCUGGGCAUGUCCUGACGCUGAGGAGCGAAAGUGUGGGGAGCAAACGGG
rnacentral:rRNA from 1 species